CUUUUCUUUAUUUGUGUUUUCAAUAGGGCUAUAAAUGUCAGUUCCUUCCUAAUGGAUCUGGAGAUUGAAGCACUCCUGCUACUGAAAAGGUUGAUAUGGCUCAAGCAGCAAUAAGCACCAGCAGAUUGUUGGGAACUAAGCAGCAAGUAAAGCAGACURGUGGGACUACCAAUCAUGUCAACUAAAGACACAGAUCUGUGACUCAGGCGCUCAUAACUAGGAAGAAUUUUUAUUGGUAAGGCAAGACACAAGUCAGAAAGGACCCUUGCACGCUGUGAGCACCAGCUGACUCUAGCAGCCACUGUUUCGAAGCAGAAUGUGCAAAUCAGCCCAGUGGAGAGMGAGGCUCAGCUGGACCCGAAAGCCCAGGACCACCUACAGCAGAUUGGAGAUGUGGAGAUACCCAGUGUGCAUUGAUGGAUAUCUCACCAUAACACCAGUCAGGCAGUCGCAGGCAACACAUUGGUCCUUCCUGCGAGCUGCACUCCAGCUCAGGUACGUGGCGUGUGCUGUGCUAGGGUGAAGAGAGAAGUGACAACCGAGUGAACACGUUGCAGGCACUGUGCACGUUUGGCUCUCCAACUCAGAGAUAACCCAGAGGAAUGGUCAGACGACUGAGAGACGUAACUGCUCUGRCAACCCAGCUGGGCCACAGGAUAUUUGUAGGAAAUGGAGCUGCAGCAGGGAAAUCUGGACAGUUGGAGCUUCCCUUGUGCAAAAGGACCAGGGCACAAAUGCCAGCUGCUGUGUGUAAAAUUCCUCCUKCCUUUGCUGUAGCAAGCUGCGAACAGCGCUAUGCCUAGUCAAUUAUUUCACCGACAUGUCAUGAACUUUAUSCUUUACCUUUGCAACAACUCUGUAUUUUAAUGUUGCGUUGAGAAUCCUGAGAAAUAAACAUUCUUCUAUGUUACA
rnacentral:lncRNA from 1 species